UUAAGUGGAUUUUCAAACACAUCACCGAAACAGAACGUUCAGUAUAUUUAUGGCCAUACAUCCUGGAUUGGUGUAUGUUCUAUGAGCUGGAACAACCUGCAGAAACUGAGGGUGAGGUGUCUUAUCUUGUUGAGGGACUUGUGUGAGGCAGUGGGAAGAAGAUUGAGAUAAUCUGUUGCCAUGAAAAGCUCCUAAUACGUUGAUUAUGAGCACUUGCAGUAUUGGCAUUGAAGUCACCUCCAAGAGCGACAAGAAACCCAUCUUUUACUCUUGGUUUUGUGAUAACUUCUACCCAUAUUUUACUGCAAAUGAAGUUGGGUUUCCUCCUCCCCUUAACUCUCUGUGUACUUUGAAUCUUGUAUAAUAUCCUAAUAUAAGAGAUGAAAAAUCCUGAAAAUGAAUAACCAGACAGAAACCAUAGAGAUUUAGUCAUCAGAACUAAAUUUAAAAAAUAAAAUGCUAUUUACUAUUUAGUGGGCAAAUAUUAGUGCUAGUGCUUAUUAGUGUACCUCUGUAGCUUCUUUGGUUUGUAAAGUGGAUUUGGGCGGGUUACGUGUCCUUCAACUUAGCCACACAUACGACAGUAGAAAAGACACGAAGCUUCACUUCCAAUACCAUUCUUCCUAGAAAUUUCCCAAAACAGCGAUCUGCUAUUUGCCUAUUUACCAAAGCUCCUCCCUGCAAAUUUUCUUGCAGAUUUUGGGUUACCCACGUGGAAUUCAAAUUAUCCACGCCGACAAUGAAGAAGAAAACAAAUUUUAUCCCUUUGAACAGCAGGGGAUUUUGCUUUCCAUGCCAUGUGUUCUUGUAACAUGAUUUCUCACAAGAUAUACAUAUCUUCUGGAUGGACUUGUUGUUACCCUGUUCUUCCCACCACUGUCAGCAUUGGUGCUGCAAGAAAAUUGAUCCCGUGUGCUGGAAAAGAAAUCUGCAGAGUGUACCGAAUUAGUAUCCAAUUGAUGACUUCCAUGUCAUUUGGCUACAGAGCUUUCUGUGGCGGUGAGUCGAUGACCGAUUAUAUAAAACCAUAUAUAUAUAUAUAUAUUAUGCGAUACCAACUCUCAAAUCGGAGUAUAUGAUUUUUUGGUAUGCAAUUUUUUUCUUUUUUUUUUCUUCUAUGUAGAGAUUUUGAUAUUAGAUUUUUAUGUUUUUGUAUUGUCUUGGUGUUUGUUAUUGCAUUCACGAAUUUCACACAUCAUCUGUUUGACAAUAUAUCCAUAAGAGUCAAACAAGUGGGUUCAGGUGAGUGUUCAUGGACUCUGAUCUCUCUUUGAUUCUGUGUUUCUCCCUCUCUAUUUUGGUAUCCGAACUCAAUCAAUUCAUUUGAAUUGGGAAUUGGUGUGUUAUGUUUUGUUAGAUCUUUGAUUUAGUUUUUUUUUUUGAGUUUUAUAUCAAUGUUUAGCUUGAUUUUGAAAUGGGUUGUUUGCUUUUGUACUAAAUGAUUGAUUUAAUGUUUCUAUGAACUCAUAACUUCAUUUAUUAUGACCUAAGAACAUUUUUGGUAAUAUUUGGUAAAAUUAAGGACAUUCCGAGUUGAUAACAUAGGGUGUGUCAAACAGUAUUAACAUUAACAACUUGCCCAAAAACAAUUGGAGCAGAAGAGUUAGCGACUAAAGAAGCCGCCAUAUUUGAGUAAAAAUUUUAAAUACAGCAUGUUAAUGUAAAUUGUAAAAGUAAAUGUAAAUUACCACUCCCACUCCACCUACCACCUCCACUACCACCUUCACUCCCACUCCACCUACCACCUCCACUACCACCUUCACCUACUCCCAAAUCCUCUCCUAUAUAAAUCCUUGUAAUAUAUAUCAAUUAACACAUCAAUCAACAACAUUCAAUACAACAUUUUAAUACACAAUUCUUUCUCUUUAUUUAUACAUAAAACUUACACAGCAAAUCAGUUAAAUAAUAACCAGAUGUCCCGCUUCCAUCUCCAUACUGAAAUAAAUCACCACACUGAUUACUCUGUGAAGAGCAUUCAGCAGCUGUAGGUUGAACUACAUAAGCACAUAUUGGGUUAGAGCAAGAAACCAGAGACGCAAUUGACAAACUGAUUAUGCUGUGAUGGAUGAACUCCACCUGUCCAAAAAUAAAUAAAUAAAACGUAGAAUACAUAAUAAAUAAGUAAAUAAAGAUAAUAAAACUUUUUAGGAGUGUAAUAUGGGGAGGGGAUAUUGGUUAUAAUAAUUGCAUAUGUGAAGUUAUAAUUGCAUAUGCAUGUGUGAAGUUAUAAUUCUGUCAAUUGUUGGUGUUUCUCUCUUGUUCUCAUGCUGCUAGGCAAGAUUUAAGCCUAGGGCCCUAAUCAAUCUGUACCACACCGGUUGAUGACCUGAGCCAAGACCUUAGAGAUCUUUUUUUCUCUGUUUUAUGUAUAUCAGUGUAUGCAGCUCAUUUUGUUUUUUUUUAUUUGGACAAUGCAUGGGAUCAUAUUGUCUCCCCUUACAAAACUCUUAAACAAGCGUUUACUGACUUUGUUUAUGAGCAGAUAUCCAACAGCAAAAUAAACAACACUGUGAAUAGGAAAUAGAGGAAAUUAAGAGGGGAAUCAAGUCUGGUAACAUUACACCAGAUGCUUCAAAUAUCAGGUUCUCAGAUAAGGUACUUGAUGAGCAAAAGCAUGCCAUCAAGAUUUCUGAUGAGAAGGUGGCUUUGGCUGGUCCAGCAUAUGAGUUGGUACAAAACAUGGCACUCUGUCAUUCCGACUCUGCUAAGUGACCACAUUGUUAUACUGAUGAUUAGCAUAUGUCGUGGUUCCAUAAUUCUUAGGUUUUUUUUAAAUAUUUUUUUUUAAUUCAUUGAUUGUUAGAGGCUAAAAUAUCUUAGUGGAUAUCUUGUUCCUGAGUUUGCUUUCGACUCAACUCAGCAAGCCUUAACCCCAUUUUCUUUGGGUUGGCUACAUGGAUUGGUCAUUAGUUGGCAUUAUUCAAAGCCACAUCCCAACUACUUGAGUGCAGUUUCUUUUUCUUUUUUUUGACUGGACAGUAGUUUUGAAGCCUAGCUAGUAUUUGGGUGGCAUCCCAAUUAACCUAGGGGUAAGUGUUUUAGACAUGUUUUAAGUUGUAGUCAAGUAUUUUAUUAUUUGUAACCUAUUCUGCAAGUAAUAGUCGACUAUUUAUAACCUGCAUAUUGUUUAUUGAAUAUAACUUGAGCCAUGUCCUUUUUGAGGAAUA